rnacentral:rRNA from 1 species
AACGAACGCUGGCGGCAUGCCUAACACAUGCAAGUCGAACGAGACCUUCGGGUCUAGUGGCGCACGGGUGCGUAACGCGUGGGAAUCUGCCCUUGGGUUCGGAAUAACAGUUAGAAAUGACUGCUAAUACCGGAUAAUGUCUUCGGACCAAAGAUUUAUCGCCCAGGGAUGAGCCCGCGUAGGAUUAGCUAGUUGGUGAGGUAAAGGCUCACCAAGGCGACGAUCCUUAGCUGGUCUGAGAGGAUGAUUAGCCACACUGGGACUGAGACACGGCCCAGACUCCUACGGGAGGCAGCAGUGGGGAAUAUUGGACAAUGGGCGAAAGACCUGAUCCAGCAAUGCCGCGUGAGUGAUGAAGGCCUUAGGGUUGUAAAGCUCUUUUACCCGGGAUGAUAAUGACAGUACCGGGAGAAUAAAGCCCCGGCUAACUCCGUGCCAGCAGCCGCGGU